AGCGAACGCUGGCGGCAGGCCUAACACAUGCAAGUCGAGCGCCGUAGCAAUACGGAGCGGCAGACGGGAGAGUAACACGUGGGAACGUACCCUUUGGUUCGGAACAACCCAGGGAAACUUGGGCUAAUACCGGAUAAGCCCUCACGGGGAAAGAUUUAUCGCCGAAGGAUCGGCCCGCGUCUGAUUAGCUAGUUGGUGGGGUAAUGGCCCACCAAGGCGACGAUCAGUAGCUGGUCUGAGAGGAUGAUCAGCCUCACUGGGACUGAGACACGGCCCAGACUCCGACGGGAGGCAGCAGUGGGGAAUAUUGGACAAUGGGCGCAAGCCUGAUCCAGCCAUGCCGCGUGGGUGAUGAAGGCCCUAGGGUUGUAAAGCCCUUUCGGCGGGGACGAUAAUGACGGUACCGGAAGAAGAAGCCCCGGCUAACUUCGUGCCAGCCGCCGCAGUAAGAC
rnacentral:rRNA from 1 species